CGAUCCAACCAAUCUUCAUAAUAUCCAGAUAUUGAAAAUAAAAAAGAAAUUUUUGAAACCAACAUCAAAAUUUCGAACCACAGUUUUCAACACCCAAUUCCCCAGCUAACUAAAUGAGUUUACUUUUUGGUUGGCGUUUAACUUAAAGAUUUGGUUUUUGGUCAAAAUCGGUGACCAGUGCUUUAUUGUUUCUUCUGAAAUUUUACAUCGAUCUUUUCAGUAUUUAUGGGAUUCAUCUGUUAUCAUAAUUUACUUAAAGUAACAUUCAUCCCUGAACAAUAAUUCUUCAAAAGAAAGAAUACCCAUAAAUUUAAAUUUAAAUAAAAAGCAAUAAAACCAUUACAACAACAACAACAACAACAACAACAAAGCCUUUUCCCACUAAGUGGGGUCGGCUAUAUGAAUCCUAGAACGCCAUUGCGCUCGGUUUUGUGUCAUGUCCUCCUUUAGAUCCAAGUACUCUAAGUCUUUUCUUAGGGUCUCUUCCAAAGUUUUCCUAGGUCUUCCUCUACCCCUUCGGCCCCGAACCUCUGUUCCGUAGUCACAUCUUCGAACCGGAGCGUCAGUAGGCCUUCUUUGCACAUGUCCAAACCACCGUAACCGAUUUUCUCUCAUCUUUCCUUCAACUUCGGCUACUCCUACUUUACCUCGGAUAUCCUCAUUCACAAUCUUCUCCUUUCUCGUGUGCCCACACAUCCCACGAAGCAUCCUUAUCUCCACUACACCCAUUUUGUGUAUGUAUUGAUGCUUCACCGCCCAACAUUCUGUGCCAUACAACAUCGCUGGCCUUAUUGCCGUCCUAUAAAAUUUUCCCUUGAGCUUCAGUGACCUACGACGAUCACACAACACGCCGGAUGCACUCUUACACUUCAUCCAUCCAGCUUGUAUUCUAUGGUUGAGAUCUCCAUCUAAUUCUCCGUUCUCUUGCAAGAUAGAUCCUAGGUAGAGAAAACGGUCGCUUUUUGUGAUCGUCACUAGAUUGCUCCAGUCAUUAGUGUGGAUAAGUAUAAAUGGAUAGAGAUAGGAAAGCAAACACCAGAUGUACGUGGUUCACCCAUAUUGGCUACGUCCACGAAAUAGAGGAGUUCUUAUUAAUUGUGAAGGGUUUACACAAGUACAUAGGUUCAAGCUCUCUUUUAGUGAGUACAAGUGAAUGAUUUAGUACAAAUGACAUUAGGAAAUAUUGUGGGAGAAUGAUCUCGUAAUCACGAAACUUCUAAGUUCCGGAGUGUGGUAUCGUCUUGACUUGCCUUAUCUGUCUCGUAGGUAGAUGUGGCAUCUUCUCUGGAAGUACUCUUCCUCCAUCCAGGGGUGGUAUCUUUAACUGGUGGAGAUGCACAAGGUAAUGUAUCAAUUUCACUUGAAGCUUACUUGUAGUUUCAGGCUUGGUCAAGCGCGAUACAAACCAUGUAGUAGGAGUCCUCCAAGUCACCGAGCUAGGGGAUCUGCUGAAAGAGGUGACAGACAAGGUAAGCAAUCAGAGCUCCAAGCAAUCAGUCCCAGAUCAGAACUUUGAUUUCGAGUUCCGGCUGAUUGUUCACAUUCUCCCUAUCUUGCAGGCAGCAUGAAGGAUAAAGAGAAGAAAAAUGAGAAGAGAUGAUAUGGGAUACUUUUGCUUUUGAAGAAGUAACUUUCCACAGGCUUAUUCUUGAACUGGGCUGGAGGGUUUUCUGGUUUCCUCCAGAGUAUAAGGCCGACUGAAGAAUUUGAGGGUCAAAACAAGUCCAUCAAAUCUAUAGUACGUUCGACCCUGCUGAUAUGGGAUACUUUUGCUUUUGACAGAGUAGUGGAUGUAUCGGCACGUGUGCUGUUACGCUUGUCUCCACAUGCUUCCUUGUAUCCUUCUCACUUGCCCUAUAUGUUCCUCAGGCAGAUGCGGUAUCUUCCCUGGAAGCAUAAGAUGUUGAAGAUGAGUACUCGAGAGCAAUGCCAGGUAAGUAAUCAAGUAAGGGGUUCCAGGCAGUCAGUUCCUGACUGGAAGCUUGAUUCCAAGUGCUGACUGAUUGCUCUCUUUCUCCUUGUCUUGUAGGUAAGAACAAGGCCAAAGGAAAAGACAGGGAAAAAACAUGAUAUGGGAUACUCUUGCUUUUAACCCUGAUGAUAUGAGAUAUUCUUGCUCUAGUAUAGCUUGUUUGCAGAGGUAUUAUCGGGGGGAAAGAAAGCUGAAUAUUUCGAAAGGCUUCUUUGGGAGUGCCCUCUCAGAUAUGAGGAAGGGUUGAGCAUUUUUGCAGGUCUGCCUGUCUGUUGGGGAUGGAGGUCAACAUAUAUAGGAGUCUCCCUAACAACAAGUAGUAAUGCUAUUCCUUUACCCUGCUUGGUCAUAACACGGUAGUGGGAGCUGCCAGCUUCACAUGUUUUAACUUUGUCAGAGCACUUUGAAAAAGUGGUCUAUGGUAUCUGGAAAGCUGAUGUUGCGUGUAAAGAUUACAGACAAGCUUUAUCCAAGGAGAUCCGGCUCUUGAAGUUGGGAAAGUGGUGCCUCUUCGGUUUUCGAACAAGCAAUCAUGUCGAAGAUCUGGCUCUCGAGGUUCGAAGAACGAUGCCUUUUCGAUUUUUGAGAAAGCCAUCCUGCUAGGGGUCUGGCUCUCGAGAUUCGGAGAGCGGUGUCUCUUUGAUUUUUGAGAAAGUAAUCAUGUUAGGAGUCUGGCUCUCGAGAUUCGGAGGGCGGUGCCUCUUCGAUUUCGGAGCAAGCAAUUUUGUUGGGAGUGUUUUCUCGAAUGUGAGAAAAGGUUGGGCAUGUUUGCUAGUCUAUCUUGCCACGAAGCACAGAGGUUGACACACAGGAACUUUCCAAUUAUCCAGCAGUGGUACUGUUCCUUUACCCUUGUGGGUAAUAAUAUGGUAGCUAGACCUUCAAAAUUUAUGUGUCUAAACUUUGUUAGUGCUGUUUCUUUGCUAUUCUUUUACCCUUCUUGGUUAAAGCGGUGUAGUGGGAGCUGCAAGCUUCACGUGUCUCAACUUUGUCAGAGAACUUUGGCAAAGUUAUCUGUGGUACCCAUGAGCUAAUGUUGCGUGUGGGAAGUGGGUGAUUGAACAGUAAGAUUCAUGUGCUUUCUACUUCACCAGAAAUCUUCGACAUAAUGCCCAUAAUUUCCGCAAAGCUGACAGGUGCUGACAAGGCUGGAAAAGUAGGUGCCUCUUCGAUUUCUGAGAUCGGCCAUCGUGGUCUCUGAGCAGCCCAGCUUUUGAGAAAGCAAGCGCCUCUUCGAUUUCUGAGAUCGGCCUUCGUGGUCUUUGAGCAGCCCAACUUUUGAGAAAGCAAACGUCUCGUGGUCUCUGAGCAGCCCAGCUUUUGAGAAAGCAAACGCCUCUUCGAUUUCUGAAGCUCCGUCGAGUGCAGAUUUUUAUAGAGGCUGGCAUUAAGUUCCAAAGCACACUUGAAUCUCCACCAGUAGAAACUCCAUUCUUGCACUUCUAAGAUCUUGAUUUGUCCGACCUCUUCUCUCUUCAACACCUUUGAAAAUGUCUGGCCUCUCGUACCGUCGUUUUGACUUGAACCUUGUUGAAGAGGCAGCCACGCCUUCUCCAGACAACAUAUGGCGCCCAUCCUUCGUCUCCCCUACUGGUCCUCUUACUGUUGGGGAUUCCGUGAUGAAGAAUGAUAUGACCGCUGCGGUAGUGGCCAGGAACCUUCUCACUCCCAAAGAUAACAGACUACUUUCCAAACGGUCUGAUGAGUUGGCUGUUAAGGAUUCUCUGGCUCUCAGUGUUCAGUGUGCAGGUUCUGUGUCUAACAUGGCCCAACGCCUAUUUGCUCGAACCCGCCAAGUUGAAUCAUUGGCGGCUGAAGUGAUGAGUCUCAAACAGGAGAUUAGAGGGCUCAAGCAUGAGAAUAAACAGUUGCACCGGCUCGCACAUGACUAUGCUACAAACAUGAAGAGGAAGCUUGACCAGAUGAAGAAAUCUGAUGGUCAGGUUUUACUUGAUCAUCAGAGAUUUGUGGGUUUGUUCCAAAGGCAUUUAUUGCCUUCGUCUUCUGGGGCUGUACCGCGUAAUGAAGCUCCAAAUGAUCAACCUCUGCUGCCUCCUCCUUCUAGGGUUCUGUCCAGUACUGAGGCUCCAAAUGAUCCCCCUCCCGUGCCUGCUCUUUCUGGGGCUCUACCGACUGCUGAGACUUCUCCUAAGCAACCUUUGUGAAGGCUCCCUCUUGUUUGUUUAUUUUGACUCAUGUAUAUGUACAUAUUUGUGACUUAUCGGGGAUAUCAAUAAAUAGUUUUCCUUCAUUUCAACGUAUUGUGUUGAAUACACCAAAGCCUUCUUCGCUAAGUUCUCUGAAUUUUCUUUUGUUGAAGCUUGUAUGUUGAAGCUUUGUGAAUGGAGCAUGUAGGUUGAGGUAGUAUUCCCUUAAUUUCCCGAGUGAGGAAAACUUCUUGGUUGGAGACUUGGAAAAUCCAAGUCACUGAGUGGGAUCGGCUAUAUGAAUCUUUGAACGCCAUUGUGCUCGGUCCUGUGUCAUGUCCUCCGUUAGAUCCAAGUACUCUAAGUCUUUUCUUAGAGUCUCUUCCAAAGUUUUCCUAGGUCUUCCUCUACCCCUUCGGCCCUGAACCUCUGUCCCAUAGUCGCAUCUUCUAAUCGGAGCGUCAGUAGGCCUUCUUUGCACAUGUCCAAACCACCGUAACCGAUUUUCUCUCAUCUUUCCUUCAAUUUCGGCUACUCCUACUUUACCCCGGAUAUCCUCAUUCCUAAUCUUAUCCUUUCUUGUGUGCCCACACAUCCAACGAAGCAUCCUCAUCUCCGCUACACCCAUUUUGUGACAAAGAAUCCAGUACACACCAAACAAAGAAUUGAUAAACUAAUGGAAUUUGGGAUCGGCCAAUCGCAACAGAAGAAGCAGAUAAAGAAUAUAGCCCAUAAUCAAACCGUAAAAAUGGAGAGAUCAGCCAAUCGAUCCAAGAAAACAGAGAGAUAAGAGAAGAAACUGACCUAAGGACUCGCAUGAGGAAGAGCAGUCAAUCGAUCCAAGAUAAGCGGUUUUGGCAAAGCGAAGCAGAGCAGAUAAACUGUGAUGGUCUUAGCAGUCCGCUUCAAUUUGGGGGGUCUCGCUAAGGCCUCCUAGCGAAGGAGUUUGUCCAUGCGAGUCCCAUUUAGUCUUAUUAAACAUAAUCCUAGCACCUACCAAACACGGGAUUAGAUUCAUAGGUAGUCCAGUCUAGUCUAAGGAAGGUUAGUGAGGCCAAACAAACAUGCCCUAAGAUGCUAUCCAACCUCCUUAAAAACAUUGUUCUUUCAAAAUGUUACAAUGGUGUUGGACAUUAGGUACUUCAGGGUCAUCAACAUAGUGCUGAAUCAUAAAGAAUUACGAAUCAAAUUACAGGGCCUUCGCUAAAUCACAUUCCAAGAACAGAAGGUUAUAUGAACGAACACAAACCAAUUACAGAACUCACACUAAUUGAACACAAAUUUCAGCAAAUACCCAGAACAAAUAGCAAUAACUUGACCAUAACCCAGACCUAGAUUACAAAAAGCAGCUUGCCUUGACAUUGUUCUGACUUUUAAUCAGAGUAAAACUACAAAUAGGGACGUGCUUAUUCUCAUUCACGAAAAUACACAGAGGGGUGCUAAGAGACUUUCCAAGUUAAAUCACAAAUGGUUUCUAGUUCACAUAACUAAAAAUUAUCGUAGACAACCAAGAACGUAAAUAGAGAUUAGCAUGCUUCUUAAACCGGUUCUACUUUUCAUAUUUCCAUUUUAAUGUACCAGCAAGGAAACGAUAGUAUAUUCCAAAAUUAGCAGUUUACAGAGAAAUAUAAAUAUUGUUUUCAAGGAAUUAAUAUGAUUGCAAAUGUAAUAGCUCCAUAUAUAAUGAGGUAGGAGAAAUGAUGGAAGACGCACUGAAAUUUGAGGUAAAUAGGUUGAAAAGAGUCCAUAGCAUUGAUCCAUAUAUGGAUAUCUUGCACAGAUCUACAGUUCAAGCUCCGAACAAAGUAUCACUUUAUUAGCAAUUGUGACAUUCAUUAUUCCACAAAAAGUUAUUGAUUCACAAAUAAACAAAUGAAAGUAAGAGGAAAAGAAAUGCUCACCACAUGCUGGCUGAAUCCGAGCUCAAAAUGACCACAAUAUUUUCCCAAUGAUGAUUACAGAGAGUUUGCUGCCUGGGACUUCUGUCCAUCCCCUGAAAACAAUGUCAUGAACUUAUUUAUUGGAUAAAUGUGUGUGUACCCAAGAACUACACUGAAACAACCACAAAGAUUCAAACUUCCAUAGUAAAUAUGAUCUGCAACUAAUAAAAAAAUAAUCGACUGGAAAUCACAUAUAAACCCAAAUGAAUCUGAACCCACCAAGUAAAACUAAAAAACACCCUAAAUAGACAAUCAAUCAAACAGAACCAAAUGGGGGUUUAGUAGCUUCAAAAAUUUUGUAUUAAAGCCAAUUAUGAAGCACAAAACAUCACCCAAAAAUGGAAAACGAGGUAAAACUAAGCAAAAGUCGAAGAAAAAGAGAUGGAUACCUUUCUUUUCCACUUCAGAUUUCUGGGUACUUUGGAUUUCUGAAUACAAACCAAUAAUAUCAAUCCAAUUUUUCCUAUGUAUUUAUAGUAAUUUCAUCCCAAAAAGUGACAUAGCAAACCGGCUACCACCUGAGUUCCUCUGAAAAAUAUUAACAAAAACUAAAAUUUUAAGAAAAAAAAAUGAAGUUAUUUUCUCCUGUAAGGGACCAUGCCAGUAUCCAAUUCAAUGGAGGGUUUUUACAAAUCCAAAACUAUAAAAAAAUGAGAAACAAAUUAAAAGUUGAGAUCAAUGAACACUGUACCUUACAGUAAACACACAGAGCUCUUUGAUAAACCCUUAGCAAAAAUUCUUUCAAUAACCUUCUUGCAUAGCACGGCCCAAGAAGAACCAAACCAUUUGAAAAACUUAUAUUCAAAACAUAACAAAACUAAAUGAAAUAUCAAACCCCAGAAAUCAUAAUGCUUCUAUACAGUGAAUGAUCUUUAUGAACCACAAUUUGUAAAAUCCUAAAAGCUUAUCACUGGAAGAUGGGAAUUACACAUUUCCAUUGGACCUAAGGAUCAUACACCCAACAUCAAACACCUCAUCGUGAUCAAACCCAACUAAACUUUCAUUCAAUUAAGUCUCAAACACUAUAAUCAAGUUAAAAAGAACAGUCCAAUUCUACCAAAACUAUAUACAGAAACCGAGAAAAACAGAAAAAACAGUGGUGCAAAGGUGUAUAAUGACACUAAAUCUUCAAAUGAAAUAAAAAAACAUACCCAAACCAAUAUAAAAGCCAAAGUCAUCCCUAGCAACUGUAAAAUAACAAUUAAAAAACGAAACCCAUAUAAGUUCAUAACAAAUUAAAACGUCUAGAUCAACAUUAACAUUAAAUUAGCUACAAACCUACAUAAACUAACACUACAUUAGACUAAACUAAUAAAAUAUAAGCUUCAAAUCAAAUUCCAAAUAAAAAAUUUGGAUAAAACCAACAACAAAACCACACCUUGUUCCUGUUCUGUCUCCCUUAUCAUGCUUUUUUCUUUUGCCUACUCCCCACAUUAAGCCUUUUUUCCCUAUUUUUUUUUCUCUUCACUUUCCUCGGUUUCCAGUCCCCUCCCCCCCCUUUCUCCCACAUCUAUCUUUUCUUCCUCAUUUUUUCCAUCACUACUAUUGACACUAAUUCUCCACUCUUUUUUAUCUCUUAAUUAUUUCACUCAAUCAAAACAUGGGAUCACAUUUUCUCAAGCAGCCCAAAAAACUGACCAACCAAAAUCAGAAAAACAUCCAAACUAAAACAUACAAUCACCAUUGUCAAGCAGCAAACGAUAAAUUAGAAAUUCAAAACAAAGAAAAAAAAGAAAAACAGAAACGCACUAAAACAUGCCAUCGGUGAACACCAUACCUUGAAAAGGGUAGACACACACAGCUAUUCGAGACCGAUCCCACCGAAACAAAAUUUGUGCGUUUCGACAAAAGGGGAAGAAAUCCAAAUCUCAACCAAUGGCCCGUCGUCUGAAAAUCGAGAGCGCAAACAAAAUCCCAAAAUAAACCAAAAGCAGGGUUUCCCUGGUGGGUAUUUUGUGAGAGGGAAAACGGAAGAUUUGAGGGCGGGAGAAAAGAAAGGAAAGGUGGGUUCGUGGUGAGUGAAGGGGUGAAAAGAAAUCCCUGGAAAUCAGCCUACCCCAUACUUCUCCCUUACUCUUUCUCCCUAAACCCAUACCUCCCUGCCGUAAAUCCUCUCCCCUACGCCCAUACUCCCCCGUCUCUCUCUGCAACGGACAGAACUGUCCCUUCUCCAGUACGCGUCCGCCAUGUUUGAAGCUUGUCGAUCGUCACUACUUAGUUUGUAGGCUCCACGGAGAGAGAUAUGGGGAGCGGAGAGAAAGGAAGAGCCGAGGAAGAUGAAAGACUGGAUUUUCCAGUAGAGAAGAAGAGAGAGGAAGAGUGAGAGAUGAGGAGUGCGGGCUCCCCUUACGAGAUCAUUGAAUGGAAGAGUAAACUGUCGUUUACCCUGAACUUUCACCUCACUUCGAUUUCCCUCUUAACUUUUCCAUUGGAAAAUUAAGGACUUAAAUUAAUUGUUUUAGCCAAUUUACUCUCUACAGUUAGUUUUUCAUAUAUUUCAUCCAUAUUUUUGUUAAGUGAAACCAUGUGCACAACAUGUGAGGAUAGUUAAGUUAUUUCACUUUUAAAAAUGAUUAAAAAACUGAAAAUAAUAAAAAAAAUAAAACUUUCCCUCUAUUUUUUCCCGCUAAUUCCUAUCCACGAUUUUAUUCCCUCUCAUUCCUAUGCAUGAGAAAUGACAUAUGGUGUUAUUGUCUACCAUUUUUAUUUUCUCUAACAAAUUAAUAAUUUGAUAAAUGUUAAUGGUGCUAUUGUCUCCAAAGCAGCAUUAAUAUAAGAAACCCUAGUCUUUUUUAUGGACAUGCUUCUUAUAUUAAUGCACUGCUUUGGAGACAAUAACACCAUGAGCAUUUGUCAAAUUAUUAAUUUGUUAGAGAAAAUAAAAAUGGUAGUACAUGCUUAAAAAAAAAAGAUUAACUUAGCUACUUAUGAAGACAAUAACACCAUAUGUUAUUUCUCAUGCAUAGGAAUGAGAGGGAAAAUUAAAAUUGAGGAUAUGAAUUAGCGGGAAAAAAUAGAGGGAAAAUUAUUAUUAUUAUUUAUUUUCAGUUUUUAAUCAUUUUUAAAUUAAAAUGACUUAACUAUCCUCACAUGUUAUGCACAUGGUCUCACUUAACGGAAAUAUGGAUGGAAUAUAUGAAAAACUAACGGUAGGGGGCAAAUUGGCUAAAAAAAUUAGUUUGAGUCCUUAAUUUUCCAAUAGAAAAGUUCAGGGGGGAAAUCGAAAGUGAGGUGAAAGUUCAGGGGGUAAACCGACAGUUUACCCUUGAAUGGAAAUAUAACUGGAAAAAACGUAGCUUCUCCUUCCUUUUCACGAUGACCAACACGCGUCCCUUUGCAUUGAUGGCAUGGCCGUAAAUAAACUACAAUUCCCCAAAUCACUGUUCAACUGAACAGUGAUAGAGGGGGAAAGAAAAAGUGCUUGCAAUUUUGUAAAUAAAAUGGAAUUCGGCCAAAACACUGUUCAGUUUAACAGUACAAUUGGAUUUCCUACUUUAAACUAAAGUAAUGUGCUUAAUGGGGUUUCAGAUAAUUAUCAUAAAGUUAAUGUCUUUUUGUAGUAUUGUCGAUUUUAGUUUGGAUUCGAAAAGGGAUUUAGAUUGGUUAUUUUGUUGUGGGUUUGCUGCUUAAUGUUCAUUUAUAUUAAUAAGUUAUAACACUAGAAGAUGCACAUUGAAGAAGUUGUGAUGAGUUUUUGAAAAUUUGAAAGUCCAAAUAAGCAUUGGUGCUGCGUGCAUUUUGCUUGGGCGUGUAGGCUUAUGAAAGUCAUGUUUUACAACAAUUUUUAACAAAAAAAAAACAAGAGAAAAAUUAAGCAACUAAUAACAAUGGGGAGGACACUAAUAUAUCUUCUUUGGUGUAAAUAAGUUGAUGUAGAAUAGGUUGUUUUUUGCUUUCUUCUCUGCUACUUUGCUAAAUAGGAAUUCCCUGGUCCAUUUAGUUCUUCAAUAUUGGUCGAUAUAUAAUUUUACAUUUUGCAUUGGUAAUCUGGUGUGUAUAGCUCAGUUUUUCAAUUUAUUUUUGUAUGUAGGACUUCAUGGAAUGAGCUAUUGUUGGGAGAUGUACCCAUAAUGAUAUUACUGCUUCUAUUCCCAUUUUUUAGCACACUUCAUUUUUUGAGUUGUGCAACCAGGUUAGCUCAAUGGUUUGGUAGUUGGUUCAUUUAACCUUACAUAUGCUAUGAAUGGAUGCACAUGCUGUCUUUUUCGGAAUGUGAAAUGGAUGUGCGUGUAUUUCACACACAGUUGCAGCUAUCAUGCACAAAGGUAGCAAUCCUUAUUAUUACAUUGAAGACUAUUUCACAGUUGAGUACUGUAAGUCUUCAUAUUCUUUUUCAAUUGAACCGAUUCCUGACAUCCAUCAAACCCUACUUGAUAUAAUGAAGGAUUUUGUCAUCAAGCCUCCAAUGGCAAGAAAACAACCCCGCAGACUAAAGGUUAAGAGAAUUAAGUCUAAUGGGGAAGAAUCAAGACCAAUGAAGUGUGGGAGGUGCAAGAAGCUUGGACACCACAAUAAAAACACUUGCUCAACACCCUUUUGAUUAUCAAUCAUAUCUAUCUUUUUUUUAUAUAUAAUUUGCUCAACACCCUUUUGAUUUUGCUCAGUAUUAUGUUUUUGGUAAUAAAUCAUUAUGGUUUUUUUAUCUUACCAUUAUAAACGCUUCUCCUUCAUGCUUAAUGUUGUAUAUAGGGGUGGGUACAGGCUGGGCCGGGCCCAAUUUUGGAGGAACUGGACCUUACCUGUUUUAAACAGUAACGGGACGGGACGGGCCGGGUAGAGGGACUUUGAGUUUUGGAACCGGACCUAACCCGAUCGAUUUCAAACGGGCCGAUUCGGGGCGGGUCCAUGGGUCCAACUCUUUUUCUUUUUUUUUGUAAUUUAUAAACUGCACUGCACAUCAACACAUACAUGUUUUAGAAAAUUACAAGACCUGAAGCUCCACCACAUACUGCAAUACAUAGAUAUCCAAGGUCUUAUGAUCUUCUCCACAUAAACUGUCGCAUAAAAAAAUAAAAUAUUUCCCAAGCUCAUAGAAUCAAAAUUAUACCACCAAAUAUAGCAACCAAAAUACAUUCCACAACAUUAGGCAUCAAGGAGACAUCUUGAAAUUAGCAAAAAAAAAAAAAAAACUAUAGCCAAAUAUGCAGAUCCACAAUAUCUGAGCACAUUGAAACAAAACUUCACACCUGUCAAGCAGAACUAAGCACAACUCCUCAAACUUCGCCCUUGUAAGGGUUGUCUCAAUGUGCUUCAGCCCAUAGGCAGUUGCAGUAAUGAAAGGCAGACUGGAACAAAACAAUUAUCACCAAAUAGAUGAUCACAAGAGAAUACUCAAUGGCUAAAAAAUGCUUCGGAAUAAUGAAGGUUCUCAGAUACUGAAAGCAUACCUAAUGUUAGCCUGAGUUAAAGAUGACAACUCCAUCAUUGUGAACUUAUCAACCUCAAUGAUCUGAGAAUUGCGAGACGUAUCAACGCGAAUCCAGGACCACCAAAACAAAAACGAAAGCAUCAGAAAUCCAAAAGCUACAAGCUUGGUGGCUCAAAUCUGUGAUUAAUUUCAACAUGUUCAGAAGGUAAUAACUAAAUCAGAACCAACCUUCAUUUUUUUCUUAUGGCAGAUUAUAGGUUUUAUCAUGUAUCAUCACCAAAUAUACAAUUCAAUAAAAAAGAUUAGAACUUUAUCAUCAUCAUCAUCCCAGAUGGUCAACUUUUAAAUCAUGCAACUUUGACCACUUGUUGCAUUCAGCUGAAUCCAUAAAUCCCUCUCAGUUUUCUCAACAAUCCAUCAUAAAAAAUAAAAAUUAUCCAAUGAAUUAUAGAAACAAAACAAAAUCAGUACAAGAUUAAACCUUUAGCUAUUCAUCUGACUAAAUUGGAAAAUAAAAUUAAAAAACAAAAAAACAAAACUACCCAACUCAAAUUCAUCAACGGAAAUCCAUAGCGCAAUCCGAACAUACCCAAUCGCAAUUUCGAAAUAAGACGAAAUAUGAAUUGACAAAUAAAAAAAAAUUGAUUUUAGAGGGACUUACCGAGUGAUCGGAUACGGGAGGAGGCCGAUUGACGAAGGUGAAUUACAUGUUUAAAUUUAUUUGAAUAAAAAUAUUAAUUAAUUAAUAUGGAGUAAGAGAUUAAUUAUUCAUCCUAGUUUGUUGUUGAGCCUGCAAGUACAAAAACCCAGAUCCUAAACUAGAGUGCGAAAUUAAAUUAAUCCCCAGAAUGGAACACAAUAACUCAAAAUCCCUAAAUCUAGAGAAAAAAAAACCCUAAUUCCAUAAAUCCCUAAAGGCUAAAAUUAAAUACCUUUUGUUUGAAUAUUUGGCUUCAAGAUUGACUCAGGAGUUUGGAGACUCAAGACCGUGAGGUGGUGGUCGAAGUUGAGAGGAGAGGAUGGUGGUGGCCGGAGACUCGGAGUCAACUUCUGAGAAGCUGCGGGAUCUCAACCAUCGCGAUUCGAGUGGGAGUCAGUCUAGACGAUAGAGAUACUAGAGGAAGACUGAGGAGAGAAGAUUCAACAUUCAAUAUGGGAGUCGAGUCUUUGCAAAAGUGAACGGUAGAAAGUUCGGCCCUAGACUGAUAUAUGGGCGAGAUAUGAACAACAUAGAUGUAAUCUCCACCUAAAAACACUAGAUACGGCUCGGGCCGGGGGCCCGUGUCUUCAGGAAUUAGGAACCGCCCCGCCCCGCUUUUUACUUGGACCCGGCCCGUCCCGCCACGUUGUGAUAUAAAAAAACACGGACCCGCCUCGAACCCGCCUCGAAUCGCUAGUACCCGUCCCUACUUGCGGGUCCAGGACCCGUUUGCCCACCCCUAGUUGUAUAUGCUCAAUUAUGAUACAAUUUUGAAAGACAUAGCUCAUCUUCAAAAUAUUCUCGAUAUCUCAUAAACCCAUAUAUUAGGGAACCAUUUGGUAAUUUACAAUAGUUCAAACUUAUCGCAUUAAUAUGUCAAUAACAUUAAUUAGCUUACCUAUUAGUUGAUAGUUUAAUACCAAUUGAUCAUUAAUCAUCGAACUAAUGACAAAAGACAAACCAAAUAAUUGGUACGUUUGGAUUAACACACCAACACUUUGCCAAAUCCUUAUGUUUCAAAAAUAAAAAAAUUUUACAUACCUAAUGCUUGGAAUGAUCUAAUUUAAUAUUAUUUCAUGAAACAAACGAUUAAUAUGAGUCAAUGUAACAUUAAGUAAUGUACCAAACUCUUGGUACAUUACAAACACACAAUGUAUAAUGCUUUUCUAGACCGAUACGUUUCAAAAAUAAAAAACUUUACGUACCAAACGCCUGGAAUGAUCUAAUUUAAUAUUAUUUCAUAAACCAAACAAUCAAUAUGAGUCAAUGUAACAUUAAGUAACAUACCAAACUCCUGGUACAUCACAAACACACUGUAUAACAUAUUUCCAGACUGAUACAUUUCAAAAAUAAAAACUUUACGUACCAAACGAUCAAUAUAUGUCAGCAUAACAUUAAAUGACGUACCAAACUCUUGGUACAUUACAAAGUUGCAGUCCAAUGAUGUACCAAAUUAAAAAUGUUACCUAGUACAUUUGAGCCAACGCACAAACAUAAAUCAAAUGGAAAAGGAUCUGAGGAUCCUUUUCCUGGGGAUCCUAGAUAUCUCGUGAUCGCGACCGUUCAUCGUACGUUGUCCUGUUAGUUUUCCCUAGGUACUAUUUAUAUUUAAUUUUAAUUUUUAAAUUUUAAAAUAAUUUCUGACCGCACAAUGUACGAUGGACGGUCCUGAUCACGAGAUCCCUAGGAUCCCCCAGAAAAGGAUCCGGCGAGGAUCCUUACAAAGUCAACUUAUAUUCUCAACAGAGCAAUAAAAAUUACUUGCAAGUAUGUUUCUACUAAACCAAAAUAAAUACAAAAUAUUAUCCUAAUGAAGGAAUCUGGAUCCUCUUUGUGAGGAUCCCGGAGAUCCAUGAAUCGUGUCCAUUCAUCGUACAUCGCGCGGUCAGAAAUCAUUUAAAUAUUUUUAUUUAAAAUUAAACACAAACAGUAUCUGACAAAAACUGACCGCAUGAUGUAUGAUAAACGGACACGAUUCACGGAUCCCCACGAUUCACCACAAUGAUGCCUUAUUCAAGUAGUACUAAUAUAGUAGCAUUUUGCCUACUCCAAUAAAAUUCAUUGUUUAAAAGACUGCUUACUAUUGUAGCUCUCAUUUCCUUCAUGUCAUAAUUUGCAAAAUAUUAAAAAACGGGUAAGCCAGAAGCCAUGCUAUCCAUGAUGUUUAUAACUGCAAUGCCACAAUCUAAUCUGCAAUAUAGAUAAAUGUUAGUUACACACACACACAAUAGUGAUAGUAUACAUAUAUAUGUACUUUACGAGUCUGAUUUUUGUUGCGAGCUAUGUAACGUUCGCUGCAUUGGGAUAUCAAGGUCCAUGCCAUUUAGAAUCUUCAAAGUUGCUCUUUCAUUGUCAUUUAGAGGUUGAUUCAUAGAAUCACUCAUAGUAUUGGUACGUAUAACUACACGUUUGUUAAUUUUGCCAUUGCGCAAUGCCGACUUUGCUCCUUUCUUGUGAUGACGUAAGAAUGUCAUUAUAUCUUCCAUCUGUCAUCACAUACAAGAAUCAUGUAUAAAAUUGUCAGAAUCAAUAAUAUUUUUCAACACACCAACAAGGGUAUAGAAUGAUCACCAUUUUUUCUGCAUAUUCAUAGCAUGGAUUAUGAGAAAUUCCACUUCUUGGUAGGUUUGGAUCAUAGUGCGCCACAUCAUGUUAGGUUUGUCAAUGAUAAGUAAAGUGAUAUUCCUCAUCAUGCCUCAAGGGAAAAAAGAAAAGAUCAUACUUGCCAAACUCGUUCAACAAUGAAUUGUAAAGAACCUUUUGAAGUUUUGAAAUGUCAUUCAUCUUGUGGUAUUCCUAUUUGACAUGAUCAUAUUGAAGACAUAACAUACUAGUUAAAACAUUCAAUAGGUAAAUUUAAAAAUAUGCAAAUAUAUGAAAAAUAAUAAACCCAAACAUGCGAAUAUCUUUUCAAUAAGUACCGAGACAAGAAUAGUCAUAAAGUAUGACUUAUGUUUCAAUUUGUUAUCACUUGCUAGCCUCCUAGAUAGCACUUCCGUGUACACAUGUAUGGUCUACAAGUACAAUACACUUACAUAUAUUAUUACUUCUCCAAUCUUUAUACCUUUAAAUGACCCAUUAAUUACCUGCCCUGUGAUUCCCUUGUUCGUGAUUAGAAACUCUACAUCUUCUUGCAUUAUUUGAGCUGUCUUUCCUGACCAUAAUGUUAUUCUAUUAUAUAUGGUUCAAUAAUACAAACACAUUAAUUACAAUGCUCUAAUUAAAUAGCUUAAAUGUACCAGUACUAUAAUAUGCUUAUACAAUGGUGUAAAAAUGAUUACUUACCCUGAAUAAUCGCUAUUUAAGAAGUUUUGAAGGCGUUCGUAGUCAUCUGUAUCAAACAUGGGACCGACAAAUGUUUUAGACAGAACAAUAUUUUUCUCACGACAUUUUCUUGCAACCUUCUUCAAAACAUAAGUAUCACAAUCUAUCUCUUAUCUAAUUGGAUCAUGAGGUGACCGACAUCCAAUUGGUUUCAUCUUCUUUCCUUUCUCUGCAUUUUCAUAAGGUAUGUCACCAACUUUCCUCAUUGAUUCAACAACACCAAAAUCUUGUGUUCCACAUUUUUCUUUCUUUUGCCAAAUUUUUUGUUUUAUUUGCAUAUUCGAAGUCAGUUUUUCUAAGUACCUUUCGUAAUUGUCUUCUUUUCACUCCUUUGAUUAUGAAUCCUAUUUUUGGAGAUAGUUGUUUUUUUUAUCGGCAUCUUCAAGUAAGACACUGAUUUGUUUACGAGCUUCCUCCAAUUCAGUUUCAGUUGCAGCCAAUGCCUCACUCAACAUAAUAGCUUAUACUUCAACUUGUUCACGGCUAACAUUCUUCGCAUCCAACUCCUUCUUUAGAAUUUCAUUUCAACAUGGAGUUGAUCUAUGUUCUCCUUUCCAUCCAUGUCAUUAGACUAUACCUCUCCAAAUAUUUUCAGUGGGGAUUUGAAUUGACUUGGAAGUAUAUCCCUUGUAGGUGCUUCAAAUUGAUCACUUAUUGUCUUCACACUACACAUGUUCUUUUCAAUGUUGUUUUCCGUUGAUUUGGAUGUAGGCGUACGUAAUAUAGGUUCUAUAGGUGAAACAGGUAUGUUCGAAUGUCCAACAACUACAAUUCUGAAAUCUUUAGCCACUUCAUCUUCCUUAAUAGGAUCAUCUACCUGAAAUUCUACUUAUGUUUUAGGCAAUGGAUCAUCUUCAUCAUAGGCCUACAUCACCAUCAAAACCCCAACCACAAAGGUUUCAAUAAAAUAUAAAUAUAAAUCAAACAAACUCAUAAACAAGAAUGAAACUUUAUAAACAUAUACUUUGUAAUAAUUUUAUACUUAAUAGUAAACUCCUUGUGUAUGAAGCUAAAGAAUCAUUGGUAGUGCAAAUUUCACGAAUGGUAGAGUUUGUCAACCUGAAGUCAUGGAAUGUAACAGAAAUACUGUGUUAGACUAUGGGUGGCAUUCAAAAGAAUAUGUCAACGAUAACAUAUGCUAGUUCAUGUUGCGGCCUAUAUUUAACUAACAGGGGAAGGGGGUCGGCUGCAAGGAGAGAGAUGAUGAAGGAUUUCUUCUCUCCUUUAUUACUAUAAAUAAAGGUACUACAUAGGGGGGAAUAACAUCAUCCUCUACACAUUCUUCUACACAACCCUACAAACACAAGUAAUACAAGUCCAUAUAGGAAAGAAUAACUAUAAUCAAAUCUAAUCUAGUAUUUACACAAUCACACUUAAACUAGAAAGUUUACUACACUCCCUCUUGAGUGCGUAAAUACUCAAGUAGAUUUGUCAUCAUGUUGAGGAAGUCAACUCGUCGUUACUAAUUUUGGGAACACGCUAUUCUCAAUAAGGUAGGAACUUGCAUAAGGAAGUAAGUCUCACAAAAAACCCUAUGGCUAUGGCAAAAACCCGAGUAGGGACAAAAUCCAUAGUCCAAGGAAAAAUGCGUGAGAAAUGCAAAGUUAAAUGAAACGUCUACGGAACGUCAUCAGGGAUAUGAUCAACCCAAGGUGGGUGCCUCGUUAAAACCUAGUUAGGUAGCAAAAACCCAGUGGGAAAAAUGCUCCUAAUCGUAGGGAAAAAAGUACAUUAAGAUCAAGCAAGUAUACUUUAGGAUACUCCCCCUGAGUUUGACAUAAUUCCAAAGAGAAUUAGCAAUGUUACAACUCAAAAAGUUUACGCAUACCAAUUCCUUGAACAAGCUUUGAAACGUCGCCUUCGGUGUGAUUUGGUGAAGAGGUCGGCCAGAUUGUCUUGUGAACAGAUUUGCGUGACUUCAAUCUUCUGAUGCUCUUGUUGUGAUGUGAGAAGAAGAACUUUGGCGUAAUGUGCUUGGUGUUGUCUCAUUUGAUAUAACCCUUCUUGAGUUGUUCAAUGCAUUCUAUUUUAUCUUCAUUGAUAAUCGUCGGGACUGAUGUGAAAAAUAAGUUAACACACAAAAUUAAACCCUCUUUUUAUCAAUUGUAGCAAAGCAUGUAAGUAGGGAUCGUUCUAAACCGGGGAUUAGGAGGGAUUGCUAAACACUUGAAAACUGACUUAGAAAUGUAAAAACAAAGUUUAAAACACUAGAUUAGACUCAAAGAAUGCAAAACUCACGUUUAAAAUACUAAAAUAAACCAAUAACUCAAAACAGCAACUAAAAGACUCAAAACUGCCUUAAAAACACUUUCUGGGCAGUUUUGAACACAAAGCACCAAUUUGGACGAAUUUGGGUUUUAACUUGUACCAAAACACUUAAAAACAUAAACCAACACACUUUCUAACUAAUCUAGGACUUCAAAAUAAAUGGGGAAUUGAUUUGGACGAAAAUGAACUAAAUGGACAGAUUGCAAGGAAAACAGAUUGUAAUAGAAACAGAUUGUAACACAAAGUUAUGAAUAAUCAAUGGAUGAUGGAAUGGCUAAGGGGUUCUUCUCCACACAUGAAAUAUAUGCAACCUAAAUUAAUUUUCAGUUAUCAAUUUAAUAAGUUAUGAAUCUCGACACUCCAAGUUAAUUAGGUCCGCUUAAAUUAACCUUCAGAUUUCCCUAGAAUCAUUGAAUUGGAUGAAUAUGCAUCGCAAACAAAUUAUUCCCAACAAGUUCUUUAUAUGAACAGCAUGAUAAAGACACAAGUUAGAAUCAUUACGUUCCUUGGAAAUCAUAAGCAUCGACAAGGCAUUCGUAACUAUGAAAAGCAUGAUACUUUUGCCAGGAAUCUACUUAAUACGAUCGUGACUAGCGACCUUCACUACUUACGAAUAUAAAUUCAUAACGAUUAGGUGAAACAAACUUAUAUCCUAGCAUCAAAUUCAAGCAUGCAAAUUAAGCGUGCACUCUCAACCAACAUACAAGAAUAAGUUCUAAAUCAAACGGUUAAGCAAAUUGUAUUCACGACUUAUACAACGAUAACUGAAAGUAAUCAACUUAUUUCACAUAUAUAAUCAUGGUUUUGAAUCCACCCUUAGCCAAAAUGAAAUUAGCCAAUCAUACUUAAAGCAAAACAAAGAUUACAUGAAUUAGACAUUAAAAUCCAAAUAAAGCAAAACACCUAGAAUGCUCCAACUUGGCAGCAAGUGCAUCCAAGAUUCCUCCUUUCCCUUGCUUGUGGCAGAUUGGUUUGUGGACAGGUUUUGGGUAGUUCUAUGGUGCAGAAAGGUUUAUGGUGAGUGUAGAGGAGUGUUUGAUGGUGGAAGGGUGGUGGAGAACUUAGGCAAAGAGGGUGGAAGAAGGUGGAGUGGCUGUGAUAUUUUCUGGGCACUAGAAUGGUGUUUUUGGGGUGUUUUGCUGCCUAGGGUGAGUAUGGACGAAUUUCUGUGAUGAAUGGUGAAUAUGAGAGUGUGAACCCUUUGCCAAGGGGUGUAAACAUGUAUAUAUAGGCCCCAAAAACCCUAGAGAAUCAGAUUGGGCAGUGGGGAAAAUGCACAGCAAGGAGGGUGAAUUUGUGGUGUGCAAUGGUCCAAGGAUGAAAAUGGAGCAAUGAUGCAAAGUAUGGAGGGUAAAAUGGAGUGGUAUUUCAGCUAGAGAGCAUGAAUGAUUGUGUUCAUUGCAUGGAAAUGAAAAGGGGAGGUGAAAUGUUUCAAAAAUUAGUCAAAGGUGCAGCAACAUGUGUUGCACACAGCAUUGGAUCCCAAAUGUGGAUGAUGGAGCAUCAAUUGGUGCAUGGAAUGGUUGUGAAAGUUGUGUGAAAUCUGAUGGGUGAAGGGAACAAGAGGUAUGCAGCAAUUGAGUGUGAUAAUUGAGUGAAUUGAGGCAUGAAAUCAGAAAUAUUUUAGGGGACAAGGAUGAUUAAGCAUGCAUGGGAAUCCAAAGGGAAUGCUAUGUGGUUACACGGCAAGGAGUGGGUGUUCUUUUGUGGCUGAAUUCUUGAUCCUUUGUACAUUAAUUCUUCACAUUCUUAGCAUCUUUAAUUCUUCAAUUUCGUCCAAACCUUGGUUCCAAAUAUGUGACAUGCAUUCCAAGCUCCAUUUUGCUCCAAAAUGCUCCAAAAUGCAUCUUCUUGCCUACUUUGUCCUUAAAAUCUGAAAACACACGAAAAUGACUUUAAACACUAAAAUAACUAAAGAGACACGACAUAAAUGCACAAGAACAAGCCAAUUAAGUCGCAUAAAUAUGCUCCUAUCAGGGACAUCAACGACGGGGUAAAGAUUGCAGAAGCUUCAAAUAUGGCCCACAACUGCUCUCAACCAAAAGCAUUUCUGAGUUGCUUUGUGUAAGGCAAGAAUUUCAGCAUGGUUAGACAAAGUGGUACUAAGGUCUGUUUAGUUGACCUCUAAGAAAUUGCGGUGCCUCAAACGAUAAAGACAUAACCCGUUCAAGAGCGUACCUUGUACGGAUUAGAUAAGUAUCCUGCAUCGGCAUAAUCAACAAGGCGAGAAUCGACUCAAGUUAAGGGUGUGCGACAUCACUCGAGGAUGUAUAGGGAUAGAACAAGCCCAAAUCCGUAGUACCCUUAAGGUAACGAAAGAUGUCUUUAACGCCAAUCCAAUGUUUGCGUGUUGGUGCAUUACUGUAUCUUGCCACAAGAUUAACAGCGAAUGAGAUGUCGAGUUUAGUGCAUUGAGCUAAGUACAAUAACGAGCCUGUCGCACUUAGAUAAGGAACUUCAAGCUCUAAAAUCCCUUCAUCAUCCUCAUUCGGAUGGAAGGGAUUUCAUUUUGCAUCUAGCGAUCGAAUGACCAUAGGAGUACUCGAAGGCUUUGGUUUAUCCUCAUAAAGCAGCGCAACACCUUAUGGGUGUAGUUAGAUUGAUGUACUAAGAUUUCAUCCGAAUGGUGCUAUAUCUUAAGACCGAGACAAUAUCGAGUCUUUCCUAGAUCUUUCAUCUCAAAUUUUGACUUCAGGUGCGCAACAGUUUUCGCGAGCUCCUCAGGAGUUUCGAUAAGGUUCAUGUCAUCAACAUAUAUUGCAAUUAUUACAAAACCGGAAUGUGAAUUCUUAAUGAAUGCACAAAGGCAUAGUUCGUUGUUCACAUAUCCCUGACUAUACUCACUCAGACGGUUAUACCACAUUUUUCCGGAUUGCUUCAAACUGUAGAGUGAACGCCUCAACCGAAUUGAGAGUGUGUUCCGAGGUUUAGAAAUAUUUGAUCCAGUCAAUGUAAGACAUUUGGGAAUUUUCAUAUCCGUAUUAAAAUCCCCAUAGAGAUACGUAGUUGCUACAUCCAUCAGCUGCAUACUCAGUUUUUCGAAAACUACCAAACUGAUAAGGUAGCAAAAAGUAAUCACAUCCAUAACACAUGAAUAAGUUUCGUCAUAGUCAAUCUAAAGGCGUUGUGAGAAGCCUUGCGCAACAAGAUGAGCUUUGUAAUGCACAAUUUCAUUCUUCUCAUUACGCUUUCGAACGAAAACCCACUUCUAGCCAACGUGCUUCACAUGUGGAAGAGUAGGAGCUAUAGGUUUAAACACCUUACGUUUCGCAAGUAAAUCGAGUUCGACUUGGAUUGCUUGUUUCCAGUUUGACUAAUCGGUUUUACAUUGAUAUUCAUCAACAGAACGUGGUUCAAUGUCAUUGCUCAACAUGAUCUCAGUAGCUACUAUAUAUGCUAAUGCAUCAUCGAUGAUUAUCUCAUUUCUACACCACACAUCAUCUAAGCUAGCAUAAUAGACCAAAAUCUCAUGAUUCUCGGGAGGUAGAUUCAUCUCUUCAAGGACACUUCUGUAAUCUUGAAUUUCCUCAUGAGUUGGAUAUAAUGAGUAAGCGACAGUCGGAUUCACGGUAGGCUCUUCAGGUGCCUGUGUCAUGGGUUUCCUCUUCUAGGGGUGUGAAUCCUUGAACUAAGAGGUCUGCCACGCUUUUGUGUAGGGGCAGAUGAUUGGCUAGCUACUAAUGUACGUGGAUUAGCUAAAGUGGCAUUCCGGGCCUCCAGGAGGGAAAUCCGUCGUACAUUUGGUACAUCCAUCUUUACAAGCAGAUUCGCAGUUGGAAUAUGUGAUCUUGUCACUCGCGCUAGAUCGAUGAAAACAUUUGGCAUACUCUAAGCUAUGCUCUGAAGAUCUAAUAUGCGUUGCACUUCAGUUUCAGACUGAGCAGUGGGGGGAUCUAAAUGAGACAAAGUGGGAGUCGUCCAUGAUAAUUCACGUCAUUCAUCAGGAACGUUGACAUUCUUAUCUCCUCUUAAUGACGGAAAGACUGUCUCAUAGAAGUGACAAUCCGCAAAACUAGCGGUAAACAGAUUGCUUGUUAAAGGUUCUUAGUAACGAAUAAUUGAAGGAGAAUCAUAUCCGACAUAGAUUCCCAUCAUUUGCUGAGGCCCCAUUUUUGUACGUAAAGGCGAAGAAAUUGUUACAUAGACCGCACAACAAAAAACACACAGAUGCGAUAUGUCGAGUUCGUAUUUGGUAACCAACUGAAAUGCGCUAUAUGGCUGGGUUACAAUAGGCCUCAGGCAGACCAACAUGGCUGCAUGCAAUAUUGCAUGGCCCCAAGCAACGAUCGGGAGCUUAGUACGUAUGAUCAACGAUUGAGUAAUCAUUUGUAAGUGCUUAAUGAAUGCCUCAGCCAAGCCAUUCUGGGUGUGAACAUGGGGUACAUGAUGUUCAACUUCAACCCCAACCAACAUGCAAUAGUCAUCAAAAGUUUUAGAUGUGAAUUCUCCAUCAUCAUCCAAUCGAAUAAAUUUGGUCGGAUAAUUAGGGAAGUGAGCCCUAAGCUUAAUAAGUUGAGCCAACAAUUUGGAUAAUGUAGCGUUCCUUGUGGACAACAAGCAUACGUGUAACCAAAGUGUGGAGGCGUCAACCAAAACCAUAGAAUAUCUAAAUGGUCUGCAUUGAGGGUGAAUCAGUUCACAAACGUCCCCCUGAAUCAUUUGUAGAAAAAUAGGAGGAUUCCUAAAUCCUUUGUAGAAAAAUAGGAGGAUUCGAGCGAAUCUUAUCAUAAGAAAGCUUAAUAAUAAGUUUUCCCAUGAAGCAGGUUUCGCAUGUGAUUCCUUGAAUCGAACCUAAACUUCAGGUUAGUGGAUGCCCAUGUGAAGAUUUGAAGAUACAGCGUAUCACUGUUCAUCCAAGUUGUCCCAAAUGAUCAGGCUAAAGUGUAAUUUCGUGUGCGGUCCCUUGAGGUAAGGCCAGCCAUAUAGUGGCUUUCAAUAGGGUGUAUGGUCGUAGUAUACAUACCACUUGAGAUACCCUACAUCUUCUAUAGAAUACGCUUUUUGCCAUAUUCGUAGGACGUUAUGCACAGAAAUUCAAAUCCAUUUUCUACAUAGGUUUUAGCGUGGUAAUUAUUGUCUCGAAUAUCUUUAAUGCUUAACAACGUUCUUUCGAAAUGUGGAAAAUAAAGUGCCUCUUGAAUGGUCAAAAUAAUGACAUUGGACAACAUUAUACAGGCCUUUCCAUAUCCUUCAAUUAGGUUGAAUGAACCUGAAAGGGUUGUCAGAGGUGUAUUCUUAGGUAUGAAGUUAGUGAAAUAUAUGCGUUCAUGCAAAACGAUGUGCAUGGUUGCAUUAUCUGGUAGACAACUAACUUUCCCACUAAUCAUGCCUAGAAUAAAAAUUAAUUUGAAUUGGCCACAUGCAUAAAAGUUUGAAAACUUAAAUCCAUUCAAUUAAUUUUGUCAAGAAAAAUUUAUGAACUUCAGGUUCAUAGUACCUACAAACAAAUGUAUAUAUAUAUACAAAAAUAUGUAAUAAGAAAAUAUGCAAAUAGAACUUUAGGUCUAGAAUUAUAAUUGAAUUAAUUAUUUGGACUUCAGGCCAAAUUUAAAGUGUGGGUGAAAAAAAUAUAAAACCCAACGUGCCUAAAAAAAAAAAAAUUAAACUCAGGGUCCAAAAACAGGGACCAUAAACCCACAGGUGGGUUGAGCAAAUCGGAUUGAUAGGCGCAAGCCCAAAAAUUGGGCUAGGGUAAGGCACAGGUAACAAGCCUAGGGCUGCAGGCCCAGGAAUCAGGAGUGGGCUGCAAAGGCAAAACCCAAAAGAAAGCCCAAAUGGGUUUUGAUCCAGUGCUACGCAGUGCACCGAUGUUCCAGCAGCGGCUAGAUUGUGUGCGAUGGGCACGGAUGCACCAGCAAAGCUAGGUUCCGGUGUGUCACAGCGUAGGGGGUCCACAACUGCCGCUUAGGUUGGGUUCUACUGUAGCAGGGACACGGGGGACACUAACGGGCUGAUACUUGCCGAGAAACAGGCCAAGCCCAAGUGUGCUUGGGUUUUUUAUCUAGACACCCCAGUGUGAGCUGGGUGAACUCGCUAAAGAAGAAGACCGGCGCCACCACUUUAGGCGGUCCUGUCAUGGUGUAAAAAAUCACUGCAAAGGCUGUUGGUUUGACGACAACCCAUAAAUUUGAAUGGAGAGUGAAAAACUCUCAAUGUUGUAAAACCUAGAAUUUUUCGAUAUUAAUUUCAAAAAAGAAAAAAUACAUCGAAUUUCAAGCAAGGACUCGUCGAUGACGACUUCAGGUCGUCAGGGAAGUAACUAGAAAUGGCUGGGCAUGGCUGCAUGCUAUGCUACUCGACAGUUCAAGGGAGGCGACACCAUCUAGGCGUCGAGCUUAGGGUUUGGGUCUGGAGACGUGGAUCCAGGUUCGGGUUCUCGGCUCGGGGGAAAAGAAGCCAAUCGACAUGGAUGAGUUUUCAACGAAACCCUAAAAAAUUCUUUAUAACUUUUUUCAAUUCCAGAUUAAUUCAAUGCAUAUUCAUAUAAAUAAUUUAAUGCAUGAGCAGAUAUUUGAUACAAUUCAUGGCAAUAUCAAAUUCACAUAAUUCAACAAUUACGGAUAUAAUGCAUAUACAAUUUAUGUAAAAUCUAAAAUUUGAAAAAUGUAUAGUUGUGCCAUGCAUUAUGGUGCAUGUUCAUGCUAUCAGGGCUGCAAAAAUAUCGAGAUAAAAAUCGUUGUUUAGAAAGAACAUGAUUGCGUGAUGAUAUUGAUGAAUUGGUUUGAUGCAAAAAAAAUUCUUCAAUUUCGACUUUCCAUCUCCAAAGUUUAUAUCAUGUUCAACACAAAAAAUUUAAAUUGAAUCAAUAAAAGUAUGAAUCAAUUAAAAACAAUUGAAACGUAAUACUCCCCUGAUUAAAGACGAAUAAUUUUUAUGUUAGAUUCCUAAGCACAGCAGUAGGAGCAUGCUGAUAACGUGUUGUGGCCUAUAUUUAAUUGAUAGGGGAAGAGGGCUGGCGGCAGAGAGAGAUUGAAGAGAUAUGUGUUUGUAGGGUUGUGUAGAAGAAUGUGUAGAGGAUUAUAUUAUUCCCCCCUACGUAGUGCCUUUAUUUAUAGUAAUAAGGGAGAGAAGAAAUCCUUCAUCCCUAAGGAAUACAAGUCCGCAUAGGAAAGAAUAACUAGAAUCAAAUCUAAUUUGGGAUUUACACAAUCACACUUAAACUAGAAAGUUUACAAAAAUUCAUUUAUUUUCAUAGUAAGAUGCACGAAAUAAAGAAAGUUAGACAAAAAAGCAUAAUAUCAUUAGUUAACAUAUAUAAAUGUACCUCCAAGGUUUUCAAGUCCAUUUUGGUCAAUGUUUUGUGUAAUUGGAAUAAACUUCACCUUAAAAAGUUAGGUAGUUUGUUCUCUCUACCAAUGAUGGGGUAAGUAAUCUUGUUUUUCCACCAAACCAAAAGUAUAGACAUAAAUAGUAGUAUAAUGCAUCAGAAUCAACAACUAUAGCACUUUUUCAACAAAAGAAAGAAAAACCACAUUAUGAAAAACGUACCAACAAAGCCGGAACACGUCUUGUUACCAAAUGUGGCUUAUUGGCAUGUACAAGCGAUUUGUUCAAACACUCAGCAAUCGCUGCUACCCAAUUAUAUGUUUGAAUUUGAUCUAAGUUUUCACAUAUACCCACAAGCUUCCACGAAAUUUGAGUACAACUAUUGCACAAUAAGAGUGUGUUACAGAAAUAAAUGCACAUUAAACGUGCAAGGUCUACACGCUCUUCAUUUGAUCUUUCGGCAACUAUAUUUCUUAUGGAUGCCUCAAUUCUAGUCUUUGUAUGAAUGUUGUUUUUUUUGUUUUCUCUCCUGGCGUACUGGUGUAUUCCAAUUUUGUUCCCCUCAUUAGGAAUGCCAAAUAUAUCACCCCUUUGAUGUCACCAAAUACAAAGCACCUUUGGUCUUUGUCAUAUUGUUCAAUUAUCAUCUUGAUAUCAUUGUCUAAAGUGCUCAGUUGUCACAAGCUUAUCUCUGUAUGCUCAAUAUAUCUCCAAAAUAGUGUUGUCUUCAUAUGAAUAUCAUGUCCAGCUUUAACAUAUUCUUCAAUUGUACCAUACAAACCAGCGAAGUGUAGAAGAUUAGGUCAGUAGUUCAUGCUCCCAUUCUUAGCCGUUAGUAUCGCCAUGAUGUACCUGAAACAUUUUUAGUCAAAUAAUUUGUACCAAUAUAUAUAUAUAUAUAUAUAUAUAUAAAUUCUAGGAUGCAAGAUGUCCACACGAAUUAUAUAUAUAGCACACUACACGAAUCAUAAAUUAUAGGCUACAAACGUACCAAAAGGUAGGUGUUAAACUACGAACAUGUUUACCAAUUAAAAAUUGCUAUCAAAACCUUUGAAUUCAAAAGACUAUCAAAACCAAACAGCAUAUCAUAUUCAUGUUCAAGCAUACUACAAGAAGAGAUAUAGCAGUACGCUAACCAAUGUACCAAUCACAGCCAACACACAUAAGAUCAAAACCUUUGACUUCAAAAGACAAUAAAAAAUGAAUGCACCCAACUGAUAAUUUGAAUAAAGAUCAAUAAUUAGAACCUGAAUACCAGCGUCGACCUCGGUACGGAAAGAAGGCUUAUGAAACUUAUGGUACGUUCAUAGGAGGGAAGAAAGUGUCGUUGGAAAAUAGAAUUCAUUAGAGAAAAAAAACAUUCCUAAUAUCCUUAAAUUUAAUUUAAGGGAGUUUUAACAAAACACUCCCGGUACUGUUCACUUUUAACGAAAAAUCAUAUUUUUACCUUUAACUGACAUUAUUCACUAUACAUUUAAAAAUGGCUUUUCGUUAAAAGAGAAGUUUUUUUGGCCUUUUGCUUAGUUUUUCUUAAAUUUAAAUCCUUUUGAUAUUCAACAAUCAAUUUUCUUCUUAGAUUAAAACUCUAAGACAUUAGUUAGCAAGAAUCUAGGAACCUUCUAUCCUUUGGCGUGAAGAAAUUGGAUAUGGGAAACUGAUAUGUUAAAAGCUAUGGCAAAAUAUGUAAUUUAGGUACAUUACAAUGGGUUAAUUAAAAUACACAUGGCACCAAAAUUGUAGGAGAAUGUUUAAUCAAGGGAGCUUUAUAUAUAGAGAUAAAAACUUUCACUAUAUUUCAAGUAACUCCACUAGUUUUUAAAUAUGUCAAUGAGAGACAAAAAUAUAAAAAAAAAAUUAAAGCCUAGCCCAAAAACAUGGAAACAAUGUUUUAAAAUACCAGUCAUACCCCUAAGGCUUUAGGGUUAUAUAUAAAACUCAACCCUCACAAGUUCAACAAAAUUAAUAUGUGACAUAAGCUUAACCUAUGCUCGACUAUUUCUGCAGAAUUAGUUUUGAACCUAUAUGUAGAACCAGUUUAUAACAUUUAUUACUUGAAUUAGUUCAACCCGUCCUUGACCAUUUUUGCAGAAUCAGUUUAAUCUGUCAUUGACCAUUUUUGCAGAAUCAGCUUAAUCUGUCAUUGACAAUUUUUGCAGAAUCAGUUCAACCCGUCCUCAACCGUUUUUGCAGAAUUAAUUCAACUCGUCCUUGACCGUUUUUGCAGAAUCAGUUCAACCCAUCUUCGACCAUUGUUGCAGAAUUAAUUCAACUCGUCUUCAACCAUUUUUGUAUAAUCACUUCUACCUGAUGUCGACCAUUUUUGCAUAAUCAGUUCAACCCGUCCUCGACAUUUUUACAAAAUCACUUCAACACUUCCUCGACCAUUUUUUGUAAAACCAUUUUAACCCGACUUCAACUAUUUUUGUAGAAUCAAUUCAAAUCGUCUUCGACUAUUUUUGUAGAAUCAGAAUCACUUCAACCCAUCCUCGACCAUUUUUGCAAAAUCACUUCAACUCAUUCUCGACAAUUUUUUCAUAAUCACUUCAAAUUCUCCUCGACCAUUUCUUUUUUGCAAAAUCAGUUUAACCUGUCUUUGAUCAUUUUUUUUUGCAGAAUCAAUUGAACCCGUUCGACCUUUUUUUUUGUAGAAUCAGUUCAACCCAUCUUCGAUCAUUUUAUGCAGAAUUAGUUCAACUCGUAUUUAACCAUUUUUUGCAGAAUCAGUUUCAAAUUCAUAUAGAAUCAAUUUUGUGACAACCCGUCCCAAAUUUUACGAUUUUAUAAAUUUUUAAGGGUUGUUAUUCAUUAUUCUAUUCAUUUCUUAUGGUUAUUGUUAUUUUUACUAAUUGAGGGGCUAGAAAAAUUGAGGGAAAAAUAAAAAGAAAAGAAGAAAAGAGGAAGGCUGCUUGAUGGUAGCGAAGUGGAGAGGGAGAGAAAGAAGAUGGACACUGCCCAAUCAAGAAAGGAGGAGAGUGAGAGUGACGAAUGGGAGAGAAGAACCAGGAGGGAAAGGAGGAAGGUGUAGAGCACCCAACCGGAACCUUUUUGGUGACCCGUUCACCCGCACCCAACCGAGCUUCGAAACCGGUGGAAUUCCGGCAGUUUCGAGUGGUUUUUUUAGGCGAAUUUCAUCCCAUUUACACCUGCAAUCAUCACCAUACCUAUUCCCCUUCAUUCUUCUAUCAAGAUUAUAUGGAAAUUGGGUCAUAUUUGUGACAUUUUGUAAUGGUGACACCGACGGGUCUUAUGUCGAUUCUCCCAUUUCUGAAGCAAUUUCUUCCAAUUGCCACCACUAAUAGACUUCCCUUGAAGCCUAGAACAAUGUCCAACCAUUGGUUGGAGUGUCGGAGUCGAAUUAGGGACAAAUCAAGAACACCCAUUUCUAGGGUUCCCGGCGGAUUCAAGGCAAAUUGAAGCCUUUUUAGGCCAAAUUGGACUUGGCCACAGGUAUAAAGUUUGCUCUACUCUUUGAGAUCUUCAUUUCUGUAAUUUUUGAGAAUUUUUAGAAAUAGUUGAGUUUUCCGGCGAGCCGGGGCGGCCGACCGCCACCUGCGCCGGCUGGUGUGGCGACGCGUGGUCAGGGGGUUGUCGAUGUUAUUGUUAGGCUAAUUAGAUGCCUUGAGUUCAGUUUUGGUAAUUGUAUGACAUAGGUUGAUUGUUGGAAUCUAAAUCCUCUACGUUACUUGGUAAAGAUAUGAAUUGACGAUCCAACCGUUGGAUCGUCACCAAACUUUAAUAUGUUAUAGUACGUAAUAUUUGAGAACCAUAGAAACUUACGGAUCGGGAGUCUGACAUACAGAUCUUUUGGAAUUGGAUUUGUAAGUUCAUAAAAUAAAAUGUUGACCACCACUUGGUUUUUGGCAAUUGGUGGAGAUCCGACCGUUGAAUCAUAAUGAAACCUUAGGAUGUUGUUCUAGAAGUAUAAUUUGGAUCUUUGGAAGAAAUGGAUCGGAAAUCUGUGGUGCAGAUCUUCCGAAUUGAAUUAUGUAGUGAUGUGUUUUAUGUAAAUGAUGUAUUCUAUCGGUCAGAACUCUGAGAUGUGAUUUGAUAAUUGGUCACAUACGACGAUAGUUCGUGAUGUCUCGAUAUGUGUGCUAGGGAGUCAUAGCACGGACCUUAGGUGAGUGGGUUAUAUAUAUAUAUAUAUAUAUAUAUAUAUAUAUAUAUAUAUAUAUAUAUAUAUAUAUAUAUAUAUGAUUGACAAUUCCACAAAUGGUCAGAAAUUGAUUAUUGCAUAUAAUUACUGUUAAUGCUUUGAAGUACUAAUGUGAACUACGAAUGGCUUGAUCCCUGUUUAGGGUACGUAGGCAGUCUAACGAGAUGUUAGAUUCAACCAUACAAGAAGUGAAACUAAAUAAUUGAGGUAAUAGUCUAGUUAGGGAAUUGAGUAAUGUGAGGGACAUUGGUGGAAAGUGUGAAGGUUAACCUUACUACUUGGUGAUUAAUUGUUGGUCAUAAAUCAAUGUGUGAAGAAUCAAGAAUUUGAAGUAAGGAAAUGUAAGUAAUGAUAGUUAAUUAAACUAGUGUCUAGUGGGCCUAUCACCGAUAAUUAUUUCUGAAAAUAAAUAGUUUGAGAGUAGUGCGUUACAGCUUAUGCAUUUUAUGCCAUAUAUAUAUGGAUGUAUAUAAUUGAUAAUACUAUGACAUGUUUGAGUAUCAGAUUGCAUCAUGUUUCAUUUAUAUGUACAUUACUUGCACAUAAUUAUUGUCAACACUUGAAGUGCAAAAGUAAAUGCAGGACACGCAGGUAAGUUCAAGUAAGUUUAUGGUAUUAGUUGAAAUGAUGGAGUCAUGGCAUGACUACAUACAUGUUUUAAGCAACUUCGACAUUGUCGUAUGGGUUGUCCAUAAGUCGUAUAUGUUAUAUUGAGAUACAUUGAGAGCUCAUAAACCUGCACCCCAGUGUUAGUGCUCCCGCCCGUGGCCAGUGCACAGUCCUUCACGUGAUGUUCACCUCCCGCACCUUAUGCUCACUUUGGAUCCAAGGUAGGUGCACAUGCCUAUCUUACAGACCACUAUAGGUGGUUUCGACUCGUAGAUGACCUGCGAUUAUUCGUACAAUCUUCACGUGAUCGUAGCACUUGAGCGUAUUUAUUUACACCCAGUCCUGUCGUACAGACCGCUUUAGGUAGUUCCGACUCGUGUGUAGGUAUACUUAUUGGGGUAUGGAUAAGUCAUACAGGUCACUAGAGAUGACUCUGACUUAUGAGCUAGCAUACGUGAUGAGAUAUGUGAUGAGCUAGCAUAUGUGAUGAAAAUGUUAUGAGUUAGCAUAUGUGAUGAGAUAUGUUAUGAGCUAGCAUAUGUGAUGAAUAUGUGAUGAGCUAGCAGAUGUGAUGAAAAUGUUAUGAGCUAGCAUAUGUAAUGAGAUAUGUGAUGAGCUAACAUAUGUGAUGAAAAUGUUAUGAGCUAGCAUAUGUGAUGAAUAUGUGAUGAGCUAGCAUAUGUAAUGAGAUAUGUGAUGAACUAGCAUAUGUGAUGAGAUAUGUUAUGAGCUAGCAUAUGUGAUGAAUAUGUGAUGAGCUAGCAUACGUGAUGAGAUAUGUGAUAAGCUAGCAUAUGUGAUGAAAUAUGCGAUGAGAUAUGGGUAAGUUGUACAGGUCACCCUAGGUGACUCCGACUUGCGUGCUAGUAUGAAUUAUUAAUCACAUGAUUAUUUGAUAUUAUUAAUGAGAUGUUGUGUUGUGGUAUAUUUAUGAUUUUUCUGAAAAUUAUACAUGUGUUGUAGCGAGGGGCUAUAAUGUUUUAUAUGGUUUCUAUUAAAAUUUUACUUACAAGGCCCCUCACCCUUGUCUUGUCUAUGAGCUAGCAUACGUGAUGAGAUAUGUGAUAAGCUAGCAUAUGUGAUGAACUAGUAUAUGUGAUGAGAUAUGGGUAAGUUGUACAGGUCACCCUAGGUGACUCCGACUUGCGUGCUAGUAUGAAUUAUUAAUCACAUGAUUAUUUGAUAUUAUUAAUGAGAUGCUGUGUUGUGGUAUAUUUAUGAUUUUUUUUGGAAAUUAUACAGGUGUUGUAGCGAAAGGCUAUAAUGUUUUAUAUGGUUUCGAUUAAAAUUUUACUUACAGGGCCACUCACCCUUGUCUUGUCUUCACCCUCCUGGUUUUAUUAGCUGAGCUUUCUUAUUGCCGAAGAUUCGUGGCAAUUCUUAGUAUUGGAGACUAUUUCGAGGAUACGAUUCUUAAUUCACUCUUCUGUACUUGCUUAUGCUUUAACGUCACGUGUAAAGUGGGUUCAUUCCCUCUCACCAGUGCACUCUGGUAUUUAGGCACUCUUAGGUUUAAAUUUAUUCACAAUUUUCCACAUCAUCACACUUUAUGGCUUCGUCACCUUCACGGUGUCGGCCAGAACAGCUCGAUUCGGAGUCCUAGUGGACAUUCCGGGUCAGGGUGUGUCAAAUUUUGUAUACUUUUUAAGUAGAAUCUUUUUGUAUAGUUUUAGUAGAAUUAGUUUGUAUAUUUUCAAUAAAAAUGCAUACAUCCCAUCGGCCCAACCUCUCAUCGACUAUUUUUGUUAGUUUUAAAUAUAUGUUAAAUCAAUUUUGUAUAAUUUUUAGUAUAACCAAUUUUGUAUAUUUUUUGUAAACAAGUUUGGCAACUGGCCAUCCACUUAACCUCACUUAACAAAUCCAAAUCUUUUUUUAUUUGAAAUCUAACUCUUUUUGUAUUAGAAAUCCAACUAUGUUCUAUCGAAAAUAAAAAAUCAAACAAAUACGAUUCUUCAUCAAAAUUGUUUCCUUCUCCAAGCAUUGUUCAUUUCCCUAAUCUCUACUAGGACUGAGCAUUGGGUGGGUUGGCCUGUUUAAAAGCAACAUGUAGGUCGAUAAAUUAUGCUCGAGUCAUUAUUCGACCAACCCAUCACCACAAUAACAACAACAACAACAAAGCCUUUUCCCACUAAGUGGGGUCGGCUAUAUGAAUCCUAGAACGUCAUUGCGCUUAGUUUUGUGUCAUGUCCUCCGUUAGAUCCAAGUACUCUAAGUCUUUUCUUAGGGUCUUUUCCAAAGUUUUCCUAGGUCUUCCUCUACCCCUUCGGCCCUGAACCUCUGUCCCGUAGUCACAUCUUCGAAUCGGAGCGUCAGUAGGCCUUCUUUGCACAUGUCCAAACCACCGUAACCGAUUUUCUCUCCUCUUUCCUUCAAUUUCGGCUACUCCUACUUUAUCUCGGAUAUCCUCAUUCCUAAUCUUAUCCUUUCUCGUGUGCCCACACAUCCAACGAAGCAUCCUCAUCUCCACUACACCUACGUGUUGAUGCUUCACCGCCCAACAUUCUGUGCCAUACAGCAUCGCCGGCCUUAUUGCCGUCCUAUAAAAUUUUCCCUUGAGCUUCAGUGGCCUACGACGGUCACACAACACGCCGGAUGCACUCUUCCACUUCAUCCAUC
rnacentral:lncRNA from 1 species